GAUGAAGAACGCAGCGAAAUGCGAUAAGUAAUGUGAAUUGCAGAAUUCAGUGAAUCAUCGAAUCUUUGAACGCACAUUGCGCCCGCCAGUAUUCUGGCGAGCAUGCCUGUUCGAGCGUCAUUUCAACCAUCAAGCCCCAGGCUUGUGUUGGAGCCCUGCGGCUGCCGCAGCCUCCCAAAACCAGUGGCGGGCUCGCUAUCACACCGAGUGCAGUAGUUUACUCUUCGCUCAAGGCGUGUGGCGGGUGCUAGCCGUGAAACCCCCAACUUCUCAAGGUUGACCUCGGAUCAGGUAGGAAUACCCGCUGAACUUAAGCAUAUCAAUAAGCGGAGGA
rnacentral:misc_RNA from 1 species